GGGAGGAUGGCCGAGUGGUUAUGGCGUGUGGCUCAAGUCUUGUUCUUGACUUCAUCUAGCUCUAAACUAGAUGAGAAUUCUCAUGGGGAAACCCGCGUGGGUUCGAAUCCCACUCCUCUCA